UAAUAUAUCGGAACGUACCCAAGAGUGGGGAUAACGUAGCGAAAGUUACGCUAAUACCGCAUACGAUCUAUGGAUGAAAGUGGGGGAUUCGCAAGAACCUCACGCUCCUGGAGCGGCCGAUAUCUGAUUAGCUAGUUGGUGGGGUAAAAGCCUACCAAGGCGACGAUCAGUAGCUGGUCUGAGAGGACGACCAGCCACACUGGGACUGAGACACGGCCCAG
rnacentral:rRNA from 1 species